GUGGUAUAACGCUACUGCUUGCAAUGAUACAACGCUCCUGUUUGCUUGGUUUCUUACUCUUUCCUUGCAGAUUUUGGGCUACACAUGGGGGUCUUCAAAUCAUCCACAUACACAAUAGAAGAAGAAGACAAAUUUCACCACUCCUAGAAAUUUCCAAGAUCAGCGCUCCUGCUGCCUAUUUUCUAGAGCUUUUCUAUUACAACCCACCCAUGUGAAGAAAAGAUCUAUUUUUCUGGUUCUCAUUUGGUUCAUCAGAAAUUUCUAGAACCCAAUACUAUUCUUUGGAAGAAGAUCGAACCUGCCAAAGCAGUUCAAUUUGUCUACUCCCUCAACUACAUCGAAUGAGGGCCAUCCCACACCCUCCAAGUCUUCCUCCUAGAAAGUUCAUUCAGUCAGUGCAUCAUUUGUGGAGAAAUAGUUGGGACGGCAUUCUGCCGCUGCACUGGAUGAGGACCCAAUCGAAUACAUCUACAUACAAUGUCCAAUAUUCUGUGGUGGUGAAUCGAUUGUACAAAAUCAUCAAUCCUAUAUAUUCAACGUCUACGAUUUUUUAUUCACCAUGUACAUAGAUAAGCUCCUAAACAGAAGACUCCCAAAUUGCUCCACCUCGUAAUACAUUAUUACAAACCUUUUGUUUUGUUUAUACAUUAGAUGAUUACACAUCAUGAUCUUCAAUUUCUUUGGUUUGCAGAUGUUGGUAUUGGAUUUGUACGUUUGUGUGUUAAAUCAGUGUUUGUUAAUAUGUAUACCUUGCACACAUUGUGUUUGACAAUAUACCUAUAAGAGAAAACUUAUUAUGUUCAUAUGCUCAUGAUAUUUAUUGCCAAUGAAAUUGGUUUAUUUUAUUUUAUUCCUUCAUAUCAAAACAUUCCAAACGAAUUAACUUGCCUGUUUUUGUUAUAAGACUUUGAAUGGUUAUUUUGCUAUGGUUUCAUAUGGUUUCUUUCAUGCUAAGUUUCUCUUGGCAGGUUUCAAGGUUUAUAUCAAUCAUGACAAAGUUGAUACUUGUGAAAGUUCACAAUGUGAAGUGAGCUCAAGCACAGUUGAAAGCAACCAAGAUAGAAUUCUGAAGGUGCCAGGUUUUGCAGGAACUAAAAAUUCAGUUUGGCCAUGUGUUGGGAUGCGAUGAAAUUGGUACAUGCAAAAUAUCAGUUGGACGAGGUGGUGCUCUUUGUUUACUUGUGCAGCUACGUGGGUUGGAAAAAAGAGUUGGCCAGUCGGUGCACCAUAUAUAUAUAUGUCUAUACUCUUUGUUCUGUUUCACUUCCUAUCUUAGUUCAACUUCGUUGUUUCUGGGUUCACAAAUUAUAACCCAAACUCCACAAUCUGGUGAUCGAGCACCAGAUCAAAGCUAGUGGCGUCAACCCGAACCCUUGUUUUGUCAAGCCAGCUAUUGUGCCUCAUCGCGAGGUUCCGAACCAACACGUGUCAAGGCUUUUUAGGUGGUUCAAAUUCACCCCUUUGAUAUUGGUCAAGUGAAAUGAAUGUUUUAUGACUUUUGUUAAUAUUGUUUUCGAUAAUGGGAUUUAAUUCCCUACAUUGUGUUUUGUCUUGUAUAUAUGAGCUUUAUGGACAUAAGUGUUCAUGUAUAUAACUAUGUAUAUGAAAGUUUAUUUCCAUUCAGGUCCUCAGAGCUCAUUGGACGAUGUAUAUUAUUAUUGAUUGGCUUCAACCAGCCCUUUUAUAUUGUAUU